CCAGACACUGUUCAGAGAGGUGUACUGUUUUCCCUGCUUGUAAAUCUCACAUUUGAUGAUGGACCACAGGUUCUCAAUGGGGUUCAGAUCAGGUGAACAAGGAGGCCAUGUCAUUAGAUUUUCUUCUUUUAUACCCUUUCUUGCCAGCCACGCUGUGGAGUACUUGGACGCGUGUGAUGGAGCAUUGUCCUGCAUGAAAAUCAUGUUUUUCUUGAAGGAUGCAGACUUCUUCC